rnacentral:tRNA from 1 species
GCCUGGGUGGCUCAGUUGGUAGAGCGUCCGACUUCGGCUAAGUCAUGAUCUCACAGUCUGUGAGUUCAAGCCCCACAUCAGGCU